AGCAGCUUAAGAUGAAAUAUAAAAACAUUGUUAAGACAGGUAAGACCUCGGCAUUCUUUCAUGGAGGUACUUCAUGUUGAUCAUGUUUUACAUUGUGAAGUAGCCUAAAUAUUAAGUGGCUGUUUGACUGUGCAGUUGUUUUAUCCACACAUAGCCUAAAUUGUCAGGGCCCUCUCCUUAUCCCUUCCCACCUGGCAUCCCAAACUAACCCCCUCCCUUACCCUCUAUCCUGUUUUCUCUCUCUGUCUGCUCUGUGGUCUCCCAUCCAUCCCUCUUCCCUUGCUUUCCCUUGCAGGACAACACCCGAGUAGAGCUCGGCUUCACAGCUGUCUCUACUCAGGUAAUCAGUCUCCUCCUCGAGCCCCGGGCAGCUGGAAGAAAUCACCCUGAUCACUCACCUUGCAAUAAAUACCGGUUCAGCACUCCACACCCUGCCAGAUUGUUGAAAUAUACUGCUCAAACCCGCUGCCCGGGAGCCUUCCUGCCUGGAACCCUUUCCCGAACCCCCCGACCCAUUCGGCGCCCGUCUCCUGCCCCUUCGGAUUCCCCACUCUGCCUGGACCCCCUCCUGAAACCCCUUUUUCCUCCCGGCUGCUGAAGCCGCAGCAGACACCGCUUACCCCCUGCUCUCCGGCUCUCCUCCCGAACAUUCCGGCCAGACACCAUCAGCACCCAGCCUCCCGGAGCCCCUUCUCAGAACUUCAACCGACCAAAGCACCGUCCCCGCCUGACACGGAUAACUCUUCAGUUUCCCCCCGGAUCAUCAGAGAACCACCUUCUGCCUCCUUCGCUGACUUCUAGCCCUGAAGUCCGGCCGCCAGGGAUCCACUCCAUCAUCCAAAUGCUCCGGCUCCCGCCCGGACCACAGACCACCGCCGAUCCCCGGCUCCGGACCCACCCGGCCACAUUCCUCCGCUCCCGCCUUCCCCGUCCCUGCACUCUGGUUCCUGCUCUCACUUCGCAUUCAUCCUCCCACAAUAAAUCCUUGCAAUCAUUCCGGUUCUGGUAGUGGUGCUCUCUGUGUUGGUCCGUCCAGCCUAGCUCGUGACAUAAAUGUCUGCAUCCAUAUCAUGUUCUGUUAAAUAAUUAACCCUAUUUGAACUAACUUAGACUUCUGCUCAGCCAACAGAAAGAAAGCAGAUGCCUGUAAAACGGGUGGUAUAAAAGGUCAUGGAUGCAUAUAUAUAUUUGAUUAUUUAGUUCUCUUUUGUGUCUUUUUUUGUCUUUUGGCCCCUUCACACCACAACAGACCUUGUAACUGUAAGUAGGCAAUACUCCAAAGAUUUAUCCAAAUGGUAGUUUAAGUGUACUGAAACAUGUCACUGAUCUAGGAUGAAGAAAAUGAAACUGUGUCUGCUGCCUUUACAGAGGGGGAUCCAGAAAGGCAUACAGAGGUAUGUUGCUGAUAGUUCUCUUCCCAUUUACAUUCUGGGUGGAAUAUAGAGUGUGACAUUUAGCCUACACUGAAGUAUUGCACAUUCUCAUCCUUUUAACAGAGCAUGUCUGGACAGCAGCAGGAUGGUUCCUCAACGUCCACUGCACAGACUGACACAGUUAGAUGGAUGUUCAGGAAACACCAGAGGUUCAUUCCAUGGAAUUCAUGUGCAACUGUAUAAUUUAAUAUCCUCUAUGUAUUCCCAGUUAUCAGUAAAACAGAGUUACAAACUGCAUUUGCUGAGAAAAAUCCAAAAACAGAUUAGGAGGGCAGAUCUGGAAAUUGAAAUACUGGAGCACAAGUUAGAGGUGGGUGAUGGUCACAGGUGAAUUAUGUUAACUACUGGAACAUGAACUGAACUAUCUUUUAUUUGUAGGAAAUAAAGAAGACCAAAUGAAA